UCCGGUGCUUCAAGCGAUGAGGUCACACCCGAUCCCAUUCCGAACUCGGUCGUUAAGCUCAUCAGCGCUGAUGAUACUACGGGGCAUACCGUUGGGAAAGUAAGCCAGUGCCGGUU
rnacentral:rRNA from 1 species